UACAGAGGGUGCGAGCGUUAAUCGGAUUUACUGGGCGUAAAGCGUGCGUAGGCGGCUGAUUAAGUCGGAUGUGAAAUCCCUGAGCUUAACUUUAAGGAAUUGCAUUCGAUACUGGUCAGCUAGAGUAUGGGAGAGGAUGUAGAAUUCCAGGUGUAGCGGUGAAAUAGCGUAGAGAUCUGGAGGAAUACCGAUGGCGAAGGCAGCCAUCUGGCCUAAUAACUGACGCUGAGGUACGAAAGACAUGGGGAGGCAAACAAGGAUUAGAUACCCGUCGUAGU
rnacentral:rRNA from 1 species